rnacentral:tRNA from 1 species
GCUUAGUUGGUUAAAGUUCCAACUCUUGAUUUCAGCUCAGGUCAUGAUCUCAUGGUUUGUGGGAUCGAGUCCCACAUCAGGCU